GGUUAAGUGACUAAGCGUACACGGUGGAUGCCUAGGCAGUCAGAGGCGAUGAAGGGCGUGCUAAUCUGCGAAAAGCGUCGGUAAGGUGAUAUGAACCGUUACAACCGGCGAUACCCGAAUGGGGAAACCCAGUGUGUUUCGACACACUAUCAUGUCAUGAAUACAUAGUGGCAUGAGGCGAACCGGGGAACUGAAACAUCUAAGUACCCCGAGGAAAAGAAAUCAACCGAGAUUCCCCCAGUAGCGGCGAGCGAACGGGGAGGAGCCCAGAACCUGAAUCGGCUUGUGUGUUAGUGGAAGCGUCUGGAAAGUCGCGCAGCAAAGGGUGAUAGCCCCGUACACUAAAAUGCACAGGUCGUGAGUUCGAUGAGUAGGGCGGGACACGUGACAUCCUGUCUGAAUAUGGGGGGACCAUCCUCCAAGGCUAAAUACUCCUGACUGACCGAUAGUGAACCAGUACCGUGAGGGAAAGGCGAAAAGAACCCCGGCGAGGGGAGUGAAAUAGAACCUGAAACCGUGUACGUACAAGCAGUGGGAGCACCUUCGUGGUGUGACUGCGUACCUUUUGUAUAAUGGGUCAGCGACUUAUAUUUUGUAGCAAGGUUAACCGUAUAGGGGAGCCGUAGGGAAACCGAGUCUUAACUGGGCGAAUAGUUGCAAGGUAUAGACCCGAAACCCGGUGAUCUAGCCAUGGGCAGGUUGAAGGUUGGGUAACACUAACUGGAGGACCGAACCGACUAAUGUUGAAAAAUUAGCGGAUGACUUGUGGCUGGGGGUGAAAGGCCAAUCAAACCGGGAGAUAGCUGGUUCUCCCCGAAAGCUAUUUAGGUAGCGCCUCGUGAACUCAUCUUCGGGGGUAGAGCACUGUUUCGGCUAGGGGGCCAUCCCGGCUUACCAAACCGAUGCAAACUCCGAAUACCGAAGAAUGUUAUCACGGGAGACACACGGCGGGUGCUAACGUCCGUCGUGAAGAGGGAAACAACCCAGACCGCCAGCUAAGGUCCCAAAGUCAUGGUUAAGUGGGAAACGAUGUGGGAAGGCAUAGACAGCCAGGAUGUUGGCUUAGAAGCAGCCAUCAUUUAAAGAAAGCGUAAUAGCUCACUGGUCGAGUCGGCCUGCGCGGAAGAUGUAACGGGGCUAAACCAUGCACCGAAGCUGCGGCAGCGACGUUUAGGCGUUGUUGGGUAGGGGAGCGUUCUGUAAGCCGUUGAAGGUGGCCUGUGAGGGUUGCUGGAGGUAUCAGAAGUGCGAAUGCUGACAUAAGUAACGAUAAAGCGGGUGAAAAGCCCGCUCGCCGGAAGACCAAGGGUUCCUGUCCAACGUUAAUCGGGGCAGGGUGAGUCGACCCCUAAGGCGAGGCUGAAAAGCGUAGUCGAUGGGAAACAGGUUAAUAUUCCUGUACUUGGUGUUACUGCGAAGGGGGACGGAGAAGGCUAGGCUAGCCGGGCGACGGUUGUCCCGGUUUAAGCGUGUAGGGGGUGUGACCUGGUAAAUCCGGUUGCAUAUCAACCCUGAGGCGUGAUGACGAUGCACUACGGUGCAGAAGUAGUUGAUGCCCUGCUUCAGGAAAAGCCUCUAAGCUCUAGGUAACAUUAAAUCGUACCCCAAACCGACACAGGUGGUCAGGUAGAGAAUACCAAGGCGCUUGAGAGAACUCGGGUGAAGGAACUAGGCAAAAUGGUGCCGUAACUUCGGGAGAAGGCACGCUGGCAUGUAGGUGAAGUCCUUCGCGGAUGGAGCUGAAGCCAGUCGAAGAUACCAGCUGGCUGCAACUGUUUAAUAAAAACACAGCACUGUGCAAACACGAAAGUGGACGUAUACGGUGUGACGCCUGCCCGGUGCUGGAAGGUUAAUUGAUGGGGUCAGCCGCAAGGCGAAGCUCUUGAUCGAAGCCCCAGUAAACGGCGGCCGUAACUAUAACGGUCCUAAGGUAGCGAAAUUCCUUGUCGGGUAAGUUCCGACCUGCACGAAUGGCGUAAUGAUGGCCAGGCUGUCUCCACCCGAGACUCAGUGAAAUUGAACUCGCUGUGAAGAUGCAGUGUACCCGCGGCAAGACGGAAAGACCCCGUGAACCUUUACUAUAGCUUGACACUGAACAUUGAGCCUUGAUGUGUAGGAUAGGUGGGAGGCUUUGAAGCGUGGACGCCAGUCUGCGUGGAGCCAUCCUUGAAAUACCACCCUUUAAUGUUUGAUGUUCUAACUCGGCCCCAUAAUCUGGGGUGAGGACAGUGUCUGGUGGGUAGUUUGACUGGGGCGGUCUCCUCCCAAAGAGUAACGGAGGAGCACGAAGGUUAGCUAAUCACGGUCGGACAUCGUGAGGUUAGUGCAAAGGCAUAAGCUAGCUUGACUGCGAGAGUGACGGCUCGAGCAGGUACGAAAGUAGGUCUUAGUGAUCCGGUGGUUCUGAAUGGAAGGGCCAUCGCUCAACGGAUAAAAGGUACUCCGGGGAUAACAGGCUGAUACCGCCCAAGAGUUCAUAUCGACGGCGGUGUUUGGCACCUCGAUGUCGGCUCAUCACAUCCUGGGGCUGAAGUAGGUCCCAAGGGUAUGGCUGUUCGCCAUUUAAAGUGGUACGCGAGCUGGGUUUAGAACGUCGUGAGACAGUUCGGUCCCUAUCUGCCGUGGGCGUUGGAAGAUUGAGAGGGGUUGCUCCUAGUACGAGAGGACCGGAGUGAACGCACCACUGGUGUUCGGGUUGUCAUGCCAAUGGCAUUGCCCGGUAGCUAAGUGCGGAAAAGAUAAGCGCUGAAAGCAUCUAAGCGCGAAACUUGCCUCAAGAUGAGUCUUCCCUGGGCCUUUAAGGCCCCUGAAGGAACGUUUAAGACUAAGACGUUGAUAGGCUGGGUGUGUAAGUGCAGCGAUGCAUUGAGCUAACCAGUACUAAUGAUCCGUGAGGCUUAACCUU
rnacentral:rRNA from 1 species